GCAAGUCGAACGAUCUCGACCUUCGGGUUAAUGAGAUAGUGGCGAACGGGUGAGUAACACGUAAGAAAUCUGCCCUUAAGACGAGGAUAACUAUUGGAAACGAUAGCUAAUACUGGAUAGGACAUAAAACCGCAUGGUUUAAUGUUUAAAGGCGCGUAUGCGUCGCUUUAGGAUGAUCUUGCGCUGUAUUAGUUAGUUGGUGAGGUAACGGCUCACCAAGACGAUGAUACAUAGCUGGUCUGAGAGGAUGAAC
rnacentral:rRNA from 1 species